UCUCCCCCACGCGCGCCUUUCGCGGGAAAAUUCGAAGCCGCCGCCGGCUCGCUCCUCUCGCCGCGGGCAAGGGGGCGGGACUACAGCUCCCGGCGUGCCCCGCGCGCGGCGCCGCGGGCCGGCGCAGCCUCUGGGCGCCGCGGGGCGCGGUGGGGGUUGUAGUCCCGCUGGAUAAUGCGGUGGGGCCGAGGGAUUCGUAGGGUCCCGGGGGGCGUGGGGGUGGAUGCCCGUGGGGUGCCACGGCCCCCCCUCUUCUCCAGGAGGUGCAAUGGGAAAAUGCCCUGAAAAGGCCCAUUUCAGCCUGCAUGCCCUGUUUCCUCCUAGCAAGCCUCCGCCAUGCCCCACGACGCCUGCCGUGCCCACCCGGUCCUCCAGCCCCGCUGCCUCCCGCAGCCACCCCUUGUGCAGGGGCACGAGCACCGCUGCCCCUCUCCCUGCUUCUUUAUGUUUGAUUGCCUGGUCAUUGUUGUUUCAGCACAGCAAAGUCCCCCGCAACAUCCCCCAUCGCCCAGGGCCAACUCACACCUCCUUCCUAGACACCGACACCCAUUUCAUGCCCACAGGUUCAAGGGCACGAGGUGGGCACAAUUAUCCCACCCCCCUGGUGCACCACUCUGCACCAUGCCCAUACCCCACAACCAACCACCCAAAACAGCCCGGCCAGCCACGGGGCUCGCUGCCUUCCUGCUCGCCUUUCCCGGCCCUGCCAUGCACAUUUUGGGGAGUUUUGGCUUCCUCUCGGGGUCCUCCCAGCCCCUGGAGCCCUGGGCAGCUCCCCCAGCCUCCAGGGAUUCGGUCGUGCGGGAGCAAAGCCGACGUCGUGAAUCUCCACUUCUGCCACGCACGGAGAGGCUCCAAGCACCGCUCCCCAUCCAGCCAACGCUGGAGGAAAUGUUGUAACCACCUGAAGUCACUCACGGGAACUUGAAAGGGUGGCAGCGUUUUUGCUGGGGAGGAGAUCCAUGUGGGAACAGCUGACUUCAAAAGGUGGGAGUUUCGCCACUGCCUUCAAGAAGACACCAUUAGGCAGCUCUGGCCUCCCCGUUUACAUCCUUCUCUUUUCUUUCUUUCUUUUUUUUUUUUUUAGGAUUUUACCAGGGGAGGAACACUUUUGUGACUCAGGCAACCCGUGAAUACCGGAACAUAAAUUUCCCCCAGCAGUGUUGGGAACACAAGGCGAGCCUUAAUCUGCUCAUGAAUGAGGGCUGCAAAGCGAGCCCGGCCCCGCUCCGACAUCCGAAGGGAUUGAAUUGCAAAAAGGAAGCAGGCAGCCAUCGCUGCCGAAGGAGAGGGAUUUUGUAAAAGUCCUUCUGCUUUAGCGCAAAUAAAUAAUGCAGUGGCCGGCUCCUGGCUGGAGCG
rnacentral:lncRNA from 1 species